UGGUACCGAGGGUCAGAGAGUUGCGAGUCCGCCUUCCAUCCAGAUUUCAUGGACGUCUGAAUAAGGCGAUGUGGUUGGGCCAAGCGGGUGAUCUAUCACAGCCAUUAUUUCGAUUGCUGGUUAAGCUACUAGACCGAAGCGAGCAUCAUCUUCGAGGAAAGAGAUCUUGCCUAUUGAUGAACCUCCGUCAAUCCUUAAAGAGACCAAUCUCCAAUCUAUCAGUCAAGAAUACAAUCUCUCGAUCGAUUCUUACGAACUCAUCAGAUGCCAUGGCGAUCAUCGGGCCGAUCAUUUCUUUGAGGAAGGCGAUCUCAUCAUGGUGUACAAGGAGCAGCUAAAAGCGGGACUCUUUUUUCCCUUGGAUGGAUUUUAUAAAGCUGUUUUAAAAUUUCACCAUGUGAGUGUAGCUUAGAUGCAUCCGAACUUCUAGCGAACUCUAGUAGCAUUUAGAAGUAUCUGCCGAGCUAAGAAGCUAGAGCAUACAGUCAAAGUUUUUGCCAAACUGCAUAGG
rnacentral:misc_RNA from 1 species